rnacentral:rRNA from 1 species
CCUACGGGAGGCAGCAGUGAGGAAUAUUGGUCAAUGGACGAGAGUCUGAACCAGCCAAGUAGCGUGAAGGAUGAAUGCCCUAUGGGUUGUAAACUUCUUUUAUAUGGGAAUAAAAUGUUCCACGUGUGGGCUUUUGUAUGUACCAUAUGAAUAAGGAUCGGCUAACUCCGUGCCAGCAGCCGCGGUAAUACGGAGGAUCCGAGCGUUAUCCGGAUUUAUUGGGUUUAAAGGGAGCGUAGGUGGAUUGUUAAGUCAGUUGUGAAAGUUUGCGGCUCAACCGUAAAAUUGCAGUUGAAACUGGCAGUCUUGAGUACAGUAGAGGUGGGCGGAAUUCGGGGUGUAGCGGUGAAAUGCUUAGAUAUCACGAAGAACUCCGAUUGCGAAGGCAGCUCACUGGACUGCAACUGACACUGAGGCUCGAAAGUGUGGGUAUCAAACAGGAUUAGAUACCCGAGUAGUC